rnacentral:rRNA from 1 species
UACGGGGGGAGCAAGCGUUGUUCGGAUUUACUGGGCGUAAAGGGCGCGUAGGCGGCCAGCACAAGUCAGUUGUGAAAUCUCCGGGCUUAACUCGGAAAGGUCAACUGAUACUGUGCGGCUAGAGUGCAGAAGGGGCAACUGGAAUUCUCGGUGUAGCGGUGAAAUGCGCAGAUAUCAGGAGGAACACCGGUGGCGAAGGCGGAUCUCUGGGCCGUAACUGACGCUGAGGCGCGAAAGCUAGGGGAGCGAACGGG